AAGUCGUAACAAGGUUUCCGUAGGUGAACCUGCGGAAGGAUCAUUAACACGUAUCCACGUAUUACCUCCGUGAAUCGUUUUCAGUCUACCUUCACAUAUGAGAAAUGAAUCGAGCCAGCUUCAGGAUUGAGUGGGCCUUGCAAUGCGCAUGUGCUGCCUGGGUGCGCCAACUGUAGAGACAAGUAAUUGUUUCUACGACGAUUGUAUUCUUCUAGAAGGCAUUAUGCUCUAUCACCGUUGCAUCCAUCUCAACGGGGGCGAUAGGGUUCCCAUACUUAACUUAUUUCACCACUUUUUUGCUAGUUGACUUUUUUAUGUUGGGCCGUGCGCUUGUCGCAUUUCUCACACGUUUAUUUAUUUGAACGAAUCGUACAACUCUUAGCAAUGGAUAUCUCGGUUCUC
rnacentral:misc_RNA from 1 species